AUGUUGGUGAAUUCAGCAUUUCUGUGGUCCUGCUGGUUAUGCCAACUUUAUCCCAGCUACCUGAAGGAUCGUCGUGCUGGAGAAGACAUGCCUCUCUGUGUGGAGACCCACCUGACCAAGGCUCAACUUUGUGAACAUAACGGUUGGAGGAACUGCCCCUCAGACUGUUCAACUUGCUCAGAAAAGUGGCCUUCCUUUGGCUGGGGAAUGGGUAACCAUUUUUUCUCUUUAUUGCUAAAAAGACCCAUCAGGUUGGGGCCUGCCUUCUUGAGCUGUGAAUUACAAUGGCAGGUUCAAAAGGCCUUCAGCCAACUUGAGUUUUGUAGUCAAAUUAGAUCCAAUUGGAAGUCAGCCUAUAGAAUGUGAACCAUUACUAAAGUUUUAAAAAUGAGCUUUGCCACUUUGUGGACUGUGGCUGUAGAAAUAUUUGGAGUUUUAAUGAUCUUCUCUGUCUAUUAAAGGAUCUGAUAGACAUGAAGUUUUACAAGGUAAGGACCCAAAAUGCAUCAGGUUUUUAAUGCCAAAAUUCCAUUAGGCCUGCAAUAAACGAUGGAGUCCAUCUAUGUAGCAGAUAUAUUUUAAGGUAGUGAAACUAAGUAAAAUAGUAAGACCUUUUAAAUUUAAUGUUUAUUCCAGGGACUGAUGAUUCAAAAGAAACACUUUCUUAGCAUGAUGGUAAUUUGUUUUUCUGCUAUAUUUUUUUUCAGAGACCAAGUUACUUUUUUCUCUUCUCUGAGGGCAACAGUGCACUUUUCGCUCUUACAGUAUGUUAGUUUAUGGGAAAUAGGUGUGAGGCCCUUACUGGCACUUUUUCUAGACUGAAUUGUCUUUAAUUCUGUUACCAGGGCCUGGAGGAUGAAACGAAUCCCUCAGCUAGCCCUUCGUAUCUGGUUCAGUCCUAUCUGCUUAGUAAUGGUCUCGCCCUCUCUCAUUAAAAGCAUUUGGUUUGUCCUGAGUAUAUUAUUAGCAGUCAUAGGACUUGGUUCAGGAUUGGAUUGAGAGAGAAGGGGUUGAACAUAUAGUUCUAUCAUCUUCUAGUCCUUGAAGUGAUUUUUAAAAAGUUGCUAAAAAAGACUAAGUCCUUUGAUACGAGAUUCCUUCACUAGGGAGCAGAAAUUUUGAUAUAUUCCUGCAACAGAAAAGAGUAUAGGGUUUGGUUUUGUAUAUGGUAGAGAAUGUGGGACACUGUGUGUUUCCCUGUAAUCCCAGCCACUCGGGAGGCUGCAGUGGGAGGAUCGCUUGAGCCCAGAAGUUUGAAUCCAGCUUGGGCAGCACAGCAAGACCCUGUCUCUAACAAAAAAAAAAUUAAAUAUAAUUUAAAAAAUAAAAAUAGGGUCGAAGCACACUCAGGAGAAGAUCGCUGUAGGUAAUCGCCAGUCCAGUGACGCUCCAAGCUCACCCGUGUUUAGCGCUUGUGAGCAGGUGAAGACUAAGUAUAGUUGAGUUUAACCAGGAUUGGAUUUGUCAAGUGUGACUCUGACUUGAGAUAGGACACAGGAGAGACACAUGGGACAGCAGAGAUGAAAGGGUGUGCACAGGAUGAUGAGAAUGAUGGACUCUGGGGUCUAGUCUGCAAAGGGAGAGAGGUGACAAAAGAAAGUGUUCAAUCAUCUGGAGGUCCUGGGGGGAAUGAGGAGCAGUUGAAGAUUGAUGCUAAGGAAGGAGGAGACAGAGACAGAGGGUGAGAGCCUCAAAUGGGAGAUGCUGAAGGUGGUGCAGCUACGAGUCAUGAUGAGGUCCGGGGUGUGACCAGGGGAGCUGCUAUUUGUACAGCAUGAAGGAAGUUAUCAUUGUUAAGCUGGAGGGCCAGGAACACUGUCCUCCUGGACAAAACAAAAAGUGCAGAUCAAACAGCCACAAAAACCUGUCACCACCACCACUAAGACACAGUCAUAUGUGGUUUCAUAGAAAUGCUCUGAAAACAAAGCAACCCGAGAAUAUUAGAGAUAAAAAGAACAGGGAAAUUCUGGCCGAAAGAAAAAUUAACAUAAUGGUAUCAAUAACUGAUAAAAAUAAUGUCUGAGGAAAAAGCAUUAGAUUAGAAAAAGAGUUUUUUGUUUUAUUUUUAAAUAUAUAUAUUUUUUUCUUUUGAGACAGAGUUUCAUUCUCAUUGCCCAGGCUGGAGUGCAAUGGUGCUCUCUCAGCUCACUGCAACCUUUGCCUCCCGGUUUCAAGUGAUUCUGCAGCCCCAGCCUCCUGAGGAGCUGGGAUUACAGGCGCUCCACCACCACAUCCAGCUGAUUUUUGUAUUUUUAGGAGAGACGAGGUUUUACCAUGUUUUCCAGGCUGAUCUCGAACUCCUGAUCUCAGGUGAUCCACCUGCCUCAGCCUCCCAAAGUGCAGGGAUUACAGGCAUGAGCCAUCGUGCCCAAAGGAAAAGAGUUAUUUCUGUUUGAUGAAAUUGACAGUCCACAAAGAAGAUGGAAUUAUCAAGAAUCUUUUUGUACUUAAUAAUGUAGAUUUGAGAUAUACAGAAAGUCAAAAUAUUAGAGAAACAAAUGAAUUUACAACCACAGUGGCAAACAUUAGUAAAUAACAGACGUUCGUGGUCACGAUUCAUAAAGAGCAGUUUUAAGUGUAUUUAUUUAGGCAGAGACAUUAUGCAUGCAUAGUUCAUUUGCUCUUAUUUUAGAAUCCGUACACAUUUAUAAAAAGCAGCUACUGAAUAUGCAUAUUGUGAAAACAGCUAACAAAACUAAAGUCCCAUCCACUAUUAGAAGACAGUUCAACGUUUAUUAAUAGGUUGUUGGUUAUUUCUGUUACACCAAAGCUUAAGUCUUAAAAUCUAAAAGUGAAGGAAUGAAAUCUGUUCCAGCAAUUUAAAAGGAUUCUGCAUCCAACUUUGAUUCAAUUCCUGUUCAUGUAUAAGACACAAGCCUUAGGAGUCAUUACAUUCCCAUUUUAGCUGGUGGCCAGCUGUAAGUUAAUAUGCAGACUGCGUUGGCUUCUCCUGCUCUAUGCGAUGCACAGUGCUUUGAGCGUUCCGUUGUCCUUGCCUUGGAUUGCCAUUCCAUCCCAGGAUUCUCAUUUCCUCUGUUCCUGAGUUUUGACUGGCAUAAUUUUGGAACUUAAAAAAAAAAUGCAUCUUCUGUUGUUUUUUCUCAUAGCCUUCAUUUACAUUUUUGUCUAUUUUGGAUUUUUUCUGCAAUGCUUUCAAUGUACUUUAUUUCCUGUUUUUAUAAGCUUUAUAUAACUUCAGAAAAACACAGUCCAAGACGUAUCUGGGUUAGAGGUUAUUAUUCAUGUAUUUAUUUAUUUAGUGUAACAUGGAACACAUUGACCUGCAGAACAGACACUGGGUGUGGCUCUUUGUAGAACUGUCUUUAGAGGACAUUAACUAGAGGUGACUUUCCAGGGCUUUGCACCUUAGUGACUUGGGAAGGCAGAUGGCAGGAUGCAGAUGCAGAAAAUUAACAUGUAUGUGCCAUCUACCCUUUAAUAUCCAAGGCAAAAAGGAUGAAAUAGUUUCUUCUCUCCUUCCAUUAGCCCCCAUUUCCUUGUUUUUCAAAUUAAUAGUACUUUAUUAAAUUCAUUACAAUGUAUAAAUCGUAAGUGUUCAGCACAAUGAAUUUUGACAAAUAUAUUAAAUAUAAAACACUGCCAGGCCUGGCGCAGUAGCUCAUACCUAUAAUCCCAGCACUUUGGGAGGCUGAGGCAGGCGGAUCACCUGACUGACAUGGUGAAACCUCAUCUCUACUAAAAAAUACAAAAUUAGCCAGAUGUCGUGGCACAUGCCUGUAAUCCCAGCUACUGGGGGGCUGAGGCAUGAGAACUGCUUGAACCUGGGAGGCAGAGGUUGUGGUGAGCUGAGAUCACUCCAUUGCACUCCAGCUUGGGCAACAAGAGUAAGACUGUCUCAAAACAAACAAACAAAACAACACUUCCAUCAUUCUAGAAAGUUAACUCAUGCUGCUUUCCAGUCAAGUGCUGUCAUACAGCCAAAUCCAAGUAACCAUUGACUUGCUUUCAAUCCCU
rnacentral:lncRNA from 1 species